rnacentral:rRNA from 1 species
CCUACGGGAGGCAGCAGUGGGGAAUAUUGGGCAAUGGAGGCAACUCUUACCCAGCAAUGCCGCGUGAAUGAAGAAGGUCUUCGGAUUGUAAAGUUCUUUAAUUGGGGACGAAAAAAAUGACGGUACCCAAAGAAUAAGCCCCGUCUAACUACGUGCCAGCAGCCGCGGAAAUACGUAGGGGGCAAGCUUUGUUCGGAAUGACUGGGCGUAAAGGGUGUGUAGGAGGUGUAGCCAGUUAGAAGUGAAAUAACUAGGGCUUAACGCAGGUGCUGCUUCUAAAACUGUUAUACUUGAGUGCAGGAGAGGAAAGUGGAAUUCCUAGUGUAGCGGUGGAAUGCGUAGAUAUUAGGAGGAACAUCAGUGGCGAAGGCGACUUUCUGGACUGUAACUGACGCUGAGGCACGAAAGUGUGGGGAGCAAACAGGAUUAGAUACCCGAGUAGUC